rnacentral:tRNA from 1 species
GGACAGGUGGCCGAGUGGCUGAAGGCGCACGCUUGGAAAGCGUGUUUACUAGCAAUAGUAACGCGGGUUCGAAUCCCGCUCUGUCCGCCA